rnacentral:lncRNA from 1 species
CAAUGGAAAACUAUUCCAUUGUAAAAAUGAAUGAACAACAGCUAUACUUGUCAACAUAGUGUAGAAUAAAGCAAACAGGCCACAAAGCAAUAGAUAAAUAUGAUUCUAGCUAUAUAAAAGAAAACCUAAAUACUAUAUUUUAAAGGAUGCAUACAAGUGUGAUAAGAAAAAACUAUAAAGAAAAGCAAGGAAUGAUAAAUUCAGUAUUCGACAGAGUGGAUACAUCUUCACGGGAGACAGGAGAGAUUCAAUUGGGGAGGGAUGCAUAGAGGGCUUCAGAUGCACUGGCAAUGUUGUAUUCUCAGUGAUUACACUGGUUGUCAGUCUUUAUUAUCGGCUCUUAAAUUGCAUAUAUAUUAUAUAUUCUCUAUUGUAUAUAUAACAUAUUUCAUAAUAAAAAGGGUACUUCAAAAAAUGGUUAGAAAGAAAACCACCAGAUUUUUCGUAGACAUUUAUAUCUUUAAAAGCCUAUAACCAUUAUGGCUUAUCUAUUGUUUAAUGUUUAACAGAUUGAGUAAGUGCUUGUUACAUAAAAUUAAACUGGAAAAAAUAUUGUUAGGAAGUGGUUCUUUGAUAAGCCUUGUCGUUUGGAGCAGGCAAAGGAGAGCAGGGGAGAAUUAGUGGCAGCAUACUCUAAUUGCAGGAUAAAUACCAUGAGUAAUUAAUUGCUUGAGUGCAACUUUUGCAACCAGUUGUUCUAUAGUUAUAACAAAGAUCACCUUCUUCCAUUAAUCUUUACCUAGAAAGAGUAAAAAGUCACAAAAGCUAAUGAUUUAUGCUCAACCUUGUCUCUGCCCAUCCUCACCUGCUCAGGAGAUGUUAAUUAAACUGCCUAUAUUAGCUCCCCUGAGCUGCUUCCAUGUUACACUUUUUUAUCCCCUUCCUGAAUCUGGUUCCUUUAAAAGGCUUUCAGUUUUUUCACGUAGGGGAUCACCCCUCACAAGGCAUUCUGAGGCAUAGCCUUUAUUUUAAAGGUCAAAUUUCAUUUCUUUAAAAGCUCUACACUUUUAUUUUUCUAUUCCCAACAAUACAGUAUUCAUAAGGAACCAGAGGUUUCUUCAUCUAAGGAUCCAGAAGUAAUGAUCUACAAAACUUCAUGUGUAAAUCACCAAUUCCUACCAUAGCAAAACCUGUGCUCAAAAUCAUUUCUGCUGGCCUUGCUCCGUGUUCCAUCUUCUGAGACGCUGGCAUACUCUGGGUGGCAAUGCAAACCUCUCCAGGUAGCCAAGCUGGGGCUUCACUGCCACCUGCUCCCAUCUCCCUCCCGUCUGAGCCCCUCCUUUCCUCUCAAAGGUGACCCAUAUUCCAGGGGCAGCGGGCUGGCAGCCCCUCUUGAUGAGCUUCAGUGACUUCCACACAGGACUCUUCACUCCAAUGCUGUCACUGAGAAUAAGUCUGUGACUCAUGUCAGGGAGCACUUAUACCUAGAGGACCAAUUAUUACAGCUGUGCAUGGACUCCUAUUAUUAAGGAUGAAAAUCAAUCAAGGCAACUUUCAGCAACUGAGGAGUCCAUAUACGUCCACAGAGGCCAACAUACAAGCUUCCCCUUAAUCAAAAAACAACAACAACAACAACAACAACAGAGGUUUGUAUAAAACAGAUGUAACUGUCAUUACCACCAAAAAUGAGGAAACUUCGUGAAUUGACAACAUGGCAGAAACUGGCAAUUGUCUCCUAAGACCCAUGCUCCCUUCUUCUGUAGGAAUAAAACACCUGGUUGUUAACCAGCACAGAGCCACGUGGUUAAGUUCUAGCCAACAUGAAAUGAUCAGGAGUGAUGUGUGCAACAGCCAGGCAUUGCCGAUAGAGGGAAGGGACAGGCACUCUAUUUGCCUUUUCUGGUUUCCAUGGGCUGAAAUGCAAACAUGGGUGUGAGACAGAUUGGAUGAUGUGGAAGCAGGAUGCCCUAGGAACGACAGAGCAGCAAGAUUGAAGAAACCUGGGUCGCUGAUACAGAGGAACUACCAAGCUAGCCCCAGACUGCUUUCACCUGAACUGUCAGAUGAGCGACAAGUUCCUGUCUCCUCUAAGCCACCAUAGUUUUGGGUCUGUGUUAUAGCUGCUAUAAUCCACUAGAAGGCUACCGAGAUAAUUAGAACCUGCAGAACCUUCAUUAUCAGUUUUUCUGCUUUGAAAAAACACACUUAUGAGAAUGAAACCCUGGCAGUUUGUAUUCCUAAAGGAUUUGCUAGAAUCUAACAUCUUGGGAACUGAAUGUAAAUGUCUGCUGUUCUCCGUUACAAUAGCACCUCCAAUUAGCUUCUAUAAUCCAGAAGAACUCUUAGCAAAACCAACUGUUGUUUUCCCAUUCAUAAAAAUAUUUAUGAAUAAACACAUUAUUUUAAAGUCCAAAUAUAAAAGCACCAAGAAAAGAAAGGUUGAGGAAAGAAAGGAGAAAAGGAGAAGAAAAUGAAAAUAUCAGCUGGAUUGCAUGGUAACAAUAGCACAAAAAUAUCCAUUUACUCCCUUUCCUUUUUAACCAAUUUGUUGCAAGCUGAAAUCACUAUAUUGGGAUUUAUUUGUUGAAUGCCAG